UUUUCUGUAUAGAUUUAUCUUUAUGGUGUAUGGUAGUUGAUAGAACUAGAGUAAGAUGUGGGAUUGAAAAUGGAAAUUCUUUUUAACAUGAUUCAAGAAUUUCCUAGAAUUAAUUCUUUCUUUCUUUGCUGAAAAUUUGUGAUCUUUAUGGUGUAUGGUAGGUGAUAGAGCUAGAGUAAGAUGUGGGACUGGAAAAACUGGAAAAUAUCUGAUAUGAUGGAUUCAAUCAAAGUAAAGUU
rnacentral:lncRNA from 1 species